UACGAAGGGGGCUAGCGUUAAUCGGAAUUACUGGGCGUAAAGCGUGCGCAGGCGGUUAUGUAAGACAGGUGUGAAAUCCCCGGGCUUAACCUGGGAACUGCAUUUGUGACUGCAUAGCUAGAGUACGGUAGAGGGGGAUGGAAUUCCGCGUGUAGCAGUGAAAUGCGUAGAUAUGCGGAGGAACACCGAUGGCGAAGGCAAUCCCCCUGGACCUGUACUGACGCUCAUGCACGAAAGCGUGGGGAGCAAACAGG
rnacentral:rRNA from 1 species